UUCUGUUCAUGAUUUAACUAGAUUGUAUGGUGGUUUCAUAAUUUUUUCUUUUAUAUUUAUGUGUUCGUCACAAUAAUUGAAAGUGACUUAGACUGCAUUCUACGUAAACAUUUUAAUAUAUUUUAAAAUCAAUUGUUUUAUUUCUAUUUAGUAGUUAGAACUCAUCCAGUAAAUUCCAUCUGGAGUAGCUGAGGAGAGCAGAGUCAGGUGUGGAGUGGUUCGGCGCUGGAGGUAGUGGAGUACAUUUUCGACUGAAUGUACCUUAAAAGCAAGAUGGAUGGGGCAAAAGGGAACACGUGCAAUGGCUGUUCAAUCUUUUUUCACUCCUCUUCAAAAAGAGCAAGAAGCUCCAGCUUCCUGUGGUUAAGAGGCGAAGUUGCUUUCCCUUUCCCCUGUGGAGGUGAUGGGGCCCGAGGAGUGUCACUCUGUAGUCAGCUGUGCCUCCCCCACUAUCAUGCUAAUGAGGGCUGGGUUAUGGACUAGUCUAUGCAAACAAUGACCCAGGACAUCAGCCUGGAAGGGGCCUCUGUUCACAUGGUGCAGGGACAGAUGUUUGGGCCUUUGAAGAGAUGUACCCAGGGGCCUCACAGUCCAGCCUUGUCUGCACCAACUACAGG